rnacentral:rRNA from 1 species
UACAGAGGGUGCGAGCGUUGUUCGGAAUUAUUGGGCGUAAAGGGCGCGUAGGCGGUGCGGUAAGUCACCUGUGAAAUCUCCUGGCUCAACUGGGAGCUUGCAGGCGAAACUGCCGUGCUGGAGUGUGGGAGAGGUGCGUGGAAUUCCCGGUGUAGCGGUGAAAUGCGCAGAUAUCGGGGAGAACACCCGUGGCGAAGGCGGCACUCUGGGACGGUACUGACGCUGAGACGCGAAAGCGUGGGGAGCGAACAGG